rnacentral:rRNA from 1 species
UACGGGGGGGGUAAGCGUUGUUCGGAAUUACUGGGCGUAAAGGGCUCGUAGGCGGCCAACUAAGUCAGACGUGAAAUCCCUCAGCUUAACUGGGGAACUGCGUCUGAUACUGGAUGGCUUGGAUUCGGGAGAGGAAUGCGGAAUUCCAGGUGUAGCGGUGAAAUGCGUAGAUAUCGGGAGGAACACCAGUGGCGAAGGCGAUCAUCUGGGGUUGUUCUGACGCUGAGGAGCGAAAGCUAGGGGAGCAAACGGG